UUUUUGUGGAACCUGCUAAAGGCGCAAAAUUUUGGAAAUGCUCCCUUAGAAAGCUGCCCGAUUAUCACCGUACAUUUUUCGAACAAUUAGCUGAUUAUGUGAUUACCAAGAAAGGAUUCUCAAAUAGAAACAGAGCUUUAGUGUAGUUCUCGUGCACCUAUGCUUCUCUAUUAGGAAAGGUUGUACACUGUUUUCAAAUGAAACGUUUGGUAAGAUAAAAUUGUCUAAUAUGUACCAUAUAAUACCAAAUGCCAAAUAACCAAAACUAUGAAGGUGAAGAUAUGCCUAAUCUGGGUGCAGAAACGGUUACCGAUUAGACCACUACAAGUAGGCCUACUCAUUCAGUUUUUAGUCAUGUCUCUCCCAUAGAAAUAAUGUCAAUUCCACAUGUUGAAAUUAAGAAAAAAAUCGAAAAUAGCAGGAGAGGGAAAGCAGCAAUCCUAACAGAUACACCGUAGAAGCAGCAGCUGAUGGAACAACACAAACGAUCAACAGCAGUUUCUGCACCCCAGGAAUACGGUCUUUGUUUACCGAAAAAAUUCCGUAAAAUCAAAACAGCAAGGGUAUGCCUAACACGAAACAAAAGACAAAUGACACAGAAUGCCUCUAUUUUGGAGGGUUAUACUGUGUAUCCACAGAGAGUUGGGCUAAAUGUAGCCGUUGUGAUAAAUGGGCA